rnacentral:rRNA from 1 species
CGGGAGGCAGCAGUGGGGAAUAUUGCACAAUGGGCGCAAGCCUGAUGCAGCCAUGCCGCGUGUAUGAAGAAGGCCUUCGGGUUGUAAAGUACUUUCAGCAGUGAGGAAGGGGGUAUCGUUAAUAGCGGUAUCCUUUGACGUUAGCUGCAGAAGAAGCACCGGCUAACUCCGUGCCAGCAGCCGCGGUAAUACGGAGGGUGCGAGCGUUAAUCGGAAUUACUGGGCGUAAAGCGCAUGCAGGUGGUUUGUUAAGUCAGAUGUGAAAGCCCGGGGCUCAACCUCGGAAUUGCAUUUGAAACUGGCAGGCUAGAAUACUGUAGAGGGGGGUAGAAUUUCAGGUGUAGCGGUGAAAUGCGUAGAGAUCUGAAGGAAUACCGGUGGCGAAGGCGGCCCCCUGGACAGAUACUGACACUCAGAUGCGAAAGCGUGGGGAGCAAACAGGAUUAGAUACCCUGGUAGUCCACGCCGUAAACGAUGUCUACUUGGAGGUUGUGGCCUUGAGCCGUGGCUUUCGGAGCUAACGCGUUAAGUAGACCGCCUGGGGAGUACGGUCGCAAGAUUAAAACUCAAAUGAAUUGACGGGGGCCCGCACAAGCGGUGGAGCAUGUGGUUUAAUUCGAUGCAACGCGAAGAACCUUACCUACUCUUGACAUCCAGAGAUCUUAGCAGAGAUGCUUUGGUGCCUUCGGGAACUCU